rnacentral:rRNA from 1 species
UACGGGGGGAGCAAGCGUUGUUCGGAAUUACUGGGCGUAAAGGGCGCGCAGGCGGUCGUUCAAGUCAGGCGUGAAAGCCCCGGGCUCAACCUGGGAACAGCGCUUGAGACUGAGCGACUUGAGUUCGGGAGAGGAGAGCGGAAUUCCCAGUGUAGAGGUGAAAUUCGUAGAUAUUGGGAAGAACACCGGUGGCGAAGGCGGCGACCUGGUCCGUGACUGACGCUGAGGCGCGAAAGCGUGGGGAGCAAACAGG